GACGAACGCUGGCGGCGUGCCUAAUACAUGCAAGUCGAACGCUUCUUUCCUCCCAAGUGCUUGCACUCAAUUGGAAAGAGGAGUGGCGGACGGGUGAGUAACACGUGUAACCUACCCAUCAGAGGGGGAUAACACUUGGAAACAGGUGCUAAUACCGCAUAACAGUUUAUGCCGCAUGGCAUAAGAGUGAAAGGCGCUUUCGGGUGUCGCUGAUGGAUGGACCCGCGGUGCAUUAGCUAGUUGGUGAGGUAACGGCUCACCAAGGCCACGAUGCAUAGCCGACCUGAGAGGGUGAUCGGCCACACUGGGACUGAGACACGGCCCAGACUCCUACGGGAGGCAGCAGUAGGGAAUCUUCGGCAAUGGACGAAAGUCUGACCGAGCAACGCCGCGUGAGUGAAGAAGGUUUUCGGAUCGUAAAACUCUGUUGUUAGAGAAGAACAAGGACGUUAGUAACUGAACGUCCCCUG
rnacentral:rRNA from 1 species